rnacentral:rRNA from 2 species
CUCAGGUGUUGUUGGGUAGGGGAGCGUUCUGUAAGCCUGCGAAGGUGGCCUGUGAGGGUUGCUGGAGGUAUCAGAAGUGCGAAUGCUGACAUAAGUAACGAUAAAGCGGGUGAAAAGCCCGCUCGCCGGAAGACCAAGGGUUCCUGUCCAACGUUAAUCGGGGCAGGGUGAGUCGACCCCUAAGGCGAGGCCGAAAGGCGUAGUCGAUGGGAAACGGGUUAAUAUUCCCGUACUUGGUGUUACUGCGAAGGGGGGACGGAGAAGGCUAUGUUGGCCGGGCGACGGUUGUCCCGGUUUAAGCGUGUAGGUGUGUGUUCCAGGUAAAUCCGGUUCACUUUAACACUGAGGCGUGACGACGAGGCACUACGGUGCUGAAGCAACAAAUGCCCUGCUUCCAGGAAAAGCCUCUAAGCAUCAGGUAACAUCAAAUCGUACCCCAAACCGACACAGGUGGUCAGGUAGAGAAUACCAAGGCGCUUGAGAGAACUCGGGUGAAGGAACUAGGCAAAAUGGUGCCGUAACUUCGGGAGAAGGCACGCUGACAUGUAGGUGAAGUGAUUUACUCAUGGAGCUGAAGUCAGUCGAAGAUACCAGCUGGCUGCAACUGUUUAUUAAAAACACAGCACUGUGCAAACACGAAAGUGGACGUAUACGGUGUGACGCCUGCCCGGUGCCGGAAGGUUAAUUGAUGGGGUCAGCGCAAGCGAAGCUCCUGAUCGAAGCCCCGGUAAACGGCGGCCGUAACUAUAACGGUCCUAAGGUAGCGAAAUUCCUUGUCGGGUAAGUUCCGACCUGCACGAAUGGCGUAAUGAUGGCCAGGCUGUCUCCACCCGAGACUCAGUGAAAUUGAACUCGCUGUGAAGAUGCAGUGUACCCGCGGCAAGACGGAAAGACCCCGUGAACCUUUACUAUAGCUUGACACUGAACAUUGAGCCUUGAUGUGUAGGAUAGGUGGGAGGCUUUGAAGUGUGG